GUAAUGUCUGGGAAACUGCCUGAUGGAGGGGGAUAACUACUGGAAACGGUAGCUAAUACCGCAUGACGUCUCAAGACCAAAGAGGGGGACCUUCGGGCCUCUUGCCAUCGGAUGUGCCCAGAUGGGAUUAGCUAGUAGGUGGGGUAAUGGCUCACCUAGGCGACGAUCCCUAGCUGGUCUGAGAGGAUGACCAGCCACACUGGAACUGAGACACGGUCCAGACUCCUACGGGAGGCAGCAGUGGGGAAUAUUGCACAAUGGGCGCAAGCCUGAUGCAGCCAUGCCGCGUGUAUGAAGAAGGCCUUCGGGUUGUAAAGUACUUUCAGCGGGGAGGAAGGGAGUAAAGUUAAUACCUUUGCUCAUUGACGUUACCCGCAGAAGAAGCACCGGCUAACUCCGUGCCAGCAGCCGCGGUAAUACGGAGGGUGCAAGCGUUAAUCGGAAUUACUGGGCGUAAAGCGCACGCAGGCGGUUUGUUAAGUCAGAUGUG
rnacentral:rRNA from 1 species